rnacentral:lncRNA from 1 species
CACAUCAUUUCUAACAUAGGCCCGUGCAUGGAAUGAACAUUUUUGUAUAUAUUUGUACCUGUAAGAGUUUUGAACUUUACACUUAGUACAAUCAACCAUAAUAUCAUUAUUAACAUAGUACAUCGUUUUCAUUUGAAAAAUGUUUUUGGGAGUUACAUAUGGUAUGGCCAAUAAAAAGCAAAUCUCCAUGCGUUCCAGAUCAAUUAAGAGAGGUAUAGCGCUCCCCAUCUCAAAGGCCAGAUUUAAUUGCAUAGGCUCAAUUGUUUCUCCAUUCACAUUGGCAAGCAUCGCAUGAACAAUAUCCUUGGAUAAAAAGUACAGAGGUAUGCGUCCCCCUGCCAAUUCGAUCAUUCCAGUUUGCACUUUGUCAAGAAAAGCGAGUGUGUG